UACAGAGGUCCCGAGCGUUGUUCGGAUUCAUUGGGCGUAAAGGGUGCGCAGGCGGCCAAGUGUGUUAGGCGUGAAAGCCCGGGGCUUAACCCCGGAAUUGCACCUCAAACUACACGGCUAGAGCAUUGGAGAGGGUAGCAGAAUUCAUGGUGUAGCAGUGAAAUGCGUAGAUAUCAUGAGGAAUACCAGAGGCGAAGGCGGCUACCUGGACAAUUGCUGACGCUCAGGCACGAAAGCGUGGGGAGCAAAAGGG
rnacentral:rRNA from 1 species